AACGAACGCUGUCGGCAUGCCUAACACAUGCAAGUCGAACGAGACCUUCGGGUCUAGUGGCGCACGGGUGCGUAACGCGUGGGAACCUGCCCUUAGGUUCGGAAUAACUCCCCGAAAGGGGUGCUAAUACCGGAUAAUGUCUUCGGACCAAAGAUUUAUCGCCUUUGGAUGGGCCCGCGUUGGAUUAGCUAGUUGGUAGGGUAAAAGCCUACCAAGGCGACGAUCCAUAGCUGGUCUGAGAGGAUGAUCAGCCACACUGGGACUGAGACACGGCCCAGACUCCUACGGGAGGCAGCAGUGGGGAAUAUUGGACAAUGGGCGAAAGACUGAUCCAGCAAUGCCGCGGGAGUGAUGAAGGCCUUAGGGUUGUAAAGCUCUUUUACCCGGGAUGAUAAUGACAGUACCGGGAGAAUAAGCUCCGGCUAACUCCGUG
rnacentral:rRNA from 1 species